GACGAACCGUGCGAACGUUGUUCGGAAUCACUGGGCUUAAAGGGCGCGUAGGCGGGCUGCCAAGUCUGGGGUGAAAUCCCACGGCUCAACCGUGGAACUGCCUCGGAUACUGGCGGUCUCGAGGGAGGUAGGGGCAUGCGGAACUUCCGGUGGAGCGGUGAAAUGCGUAGAUAUCGGAAGGAACGCCGGUGGCGAAGGCGGGUCUCUGGGCCGAUACUGACGCUGAGGAGCGAAAGCGUGGGGAGCGAACAGG
rnacentral:rRNA from 1 species